UUUCAGCCAGGGCUUCUGGACCACAGAGGAAGACGCCUACUCUGGAACUGUUAAGAAAGAACAUCACAGUGUGGUGGCGGGAGCAGAUAAAAGGAAGCUGGCCAGCUCAGUCAGGGCUGACUGAGGAGGAGGAUGACGUGUGCUGCUUGUUCCAGUAAGCCCUCCAGACUCCUGAGGCGGGUAUCCCGGACUACGCUACGGAGAGCACACUGGCUGUGGAGACCAGCUUGGAUGCUGAACGUGGAAGACAGGCCCACAAAUGGACUUAAGGGAAAUAAGACUGAGCUAAAUUAUAGGAAGAGAAACCCUACACAGGAAAGAACUUUCUAAUUAGAAAAUCAAAAAAUGUACCAACUAAUUUGGGAAAAUGUGGCCACAGCUAACACAGAGUCUGCUUCCUACAUGACUAAGUUUGCACAGGAGAUUAAACUCAAUCAGAAAGUGGAGCUGCUACGUAUUACCUGUCCUGUUCAUCUGAUUAAUGUUGCACUGUCAGUAGCUACUGCUACAGGAGAAAUGGAAGAUGUGACAUCUUGCAUCAUUGGAUUCGCGGCCAUUUUCAAGCAUGCACACACGUUGAAGGCUUUGUUUGACACCAGUGCAAGACGAGUGCAGUGUCGGGUGCUGAUUACUACGCCUGUUGUGCCACAUCAGUAGAUGAGCUUGUAUUUCACUGCCGGUCAUGUAAAUAACAUGUGCACUGUGCUACUGCCUCUCCUAGAUCAGCUUGGAGUUUUGUUGGUUCUAAAGCAGAAACUCUGAAGUGACUGGCAAAUAACCAAAAUGAUCACCAGAUUCUGCGCACCAAGUUAAUGUUCAUGGUUGAAAACUUGGAAUCACUGUGCGACACACAGAAAACACUGGAAUUUUCCUCGGAUUACUGCCAACGUGUUUGCCAGUACAGACAUUUACUGGAUCCUGACAACUAAAAUCUCAGCUGGAGUGAGCACAAAAGCUGCAGGAGAAAUAUACGAUGACAAAAACCCAGCUGUUUCUAGAAAUCCUUCGCCCCCAGAAUAUGAGAACCAAACAAGCAUUCAAAACCUUCCACACAAUGCUCAGCCGGAAAUGGGAGAUGACUGUGUCUCAAUC